UACGUGGGGGGUAAGCGUUGUUCGGAAUUACUGGGCGUAAAGGGCUCGUAGGCGGCCAACUAAGUCAUACGUGAAAUCCCUCAGCUUAACUGGGGAACUGCGUGUGAUACUGGAUGGCUUGGAUUUGGGAGAGGGAUGCGGAAUUCCAGGUGUAGCGGUGAAAUGCGUAGAUAUCUGGAGGAACACCGGUGGCGAAGGCGGCAUCCUGGACCGAUACUGACGCUGAGGAGCGAAAGCCAGGGGAGCAAACGGG
rnacentral:rRNA from 1 species